GCCUGAUUUGGAAGCAUCUGUAACCCAUUACUGUGGGGGCACCAGAACUGACUGUAGUUGCCUUGAUCUGGGAUCUAUUGGAUGUGUGAAACAGCACAUCGUGGAAGCUAGGCAGAAACUUAGGGAGAGCCUUGGGGAGGAGAUAUUUGAGGGGCUGGGUUUUUAUGAUAUGGGAGAAGAUGUAGCAAACAAAUGGACUGAAGAGGAGGAGCAAGUCUUCCAUAAUGUAGUCCUAUCAAACCCUCCAUCAUUGGGCAGGAACUUUUGGGACCAUCUGGCAGCAGCGUUCCCUUCCCGCACGAAAGGGGAGCUUUUCAAUUAUUAUUUCAAUGUAUUCAUGCUUCGGA
rnacentral:misc_RNA from 1 species